rnacentral:RNase_P_RNA from 1 species
GGCAUGGAUCGUCUUAUCGCCUUGCCGCAGGGCAGGGAGGAAAGUCCGGACAGCAUAGGGCACCCUACUUCCUAACGGGAAGGCGGGCGGCGGGUAACCACCGUUCGACAGCCAGUGUCACAGAAAAUAUACCGCCGGGGUUAAUGAGUGAAUGAGUGAAUGAGUGAAUGAGUGAAUAGGCUGACGCUAGAGCAAACCCGCGCGUCAGCCUAUUCACUCAUUCACUCAUUCACUCAUUCGCUCAUUCACUCAGGUAAGGGUGAAAAGGGGGUGUAAGAGACCACCGCCCGGAUGGCGACAUGCGGGGCAGGAUAAACCUUAGGGGCUGAAAGGCCAAACAGUACCGGAUGCGGGGCGGCUCGUCUCCACAUCACUUUCGGGUGGUUGCCGGUGCGGGUAGGUCGAUAGAGGGGGUCGGUGACGGCCCUCCCAGAUAAAUGAUAAGACGGUGAGGCACGCCCACGGGUACGGCCUUGUCGACAGAAUCCGGCUUAUAGAUUCAGGUCGUUG